GACCACGUAGCUCAGCUGGAUAGAGCAUCGGCUUGCGGAGCCGGAGGUCACAGGUUCAAAUCCUGUCGUGGUCACCA
rnacentral:tRNA from 1 species